rnacentral:misc_RNA from 1 species
GAUGAAGAACGUAGCGAAAUGCGAUACGUAAUGUGAAUUGCAGAAUUCAGUGAAUCAUCGAAUCUUUGAACGCAUAUUGCGCUCUCUGGUAUUCCGGAGAGCAUGCUUGUUUGAGUAUCAGUAAACACCUCAACUUCCAUAUCUUUUUUGAAAUGGGAGUUGGACUUGAGUGAUCCCAACGCUUUUCCUCACCGAAAAGUGGCGGGUUACUUGAAAUGCAGGUGCAGCUGGACUUUUCUCUGAGCUAUAAGCAUAUCUAUUUAGUCUGCCUAAAAAACAGAUUAUUACCUUUGCUGCAGCUAACAUAAAGGAGAUUAGUUCUUGUGCUGACUGAUGCAGGAUUCACAAAGACAGGCUUCGGCCGACUUUGUAAACUCGAUCUCAAAUCAAGUAAGACUACCCGCUGAACUUAAGCAUAUCAAUAAGCGGACGA